ACGGGUGAGUAACGCGUGGGAACCUAUCCCGGGGUGGGGGAUAACCACUGGAAACGGUGGCUAAUACCGCACGAUCCCUGAGGGGCAAAGCAGCGAUGCGCCCUGGGAGGGGCCCGCGUCCGAUUAGCUAGUUGGCGGGGUAAGAGCCCACCAAGGCGGUGAUCGGUAGCUGGUCUGAGAGGAUGAUCAGCCACACUGGGACUGAGACACGGCCCAGACUCCUACGGGAGGCAGCAGUAGGGAAUAUUGGACAAUGGGCGCAAGCCUGAUCCAGCCAUGCCGCGUGAGUGAUGAAGGCCUUAGGGUUGUAAAGCUCUUUCGCACGCGAGGAUGAUGACGGUAGCGUGAGAAGAAGCCCCGGCUAACUUCGUGCCAGCAGCCGCGG
rnacentral:rRNA from 1 species